rnacentral:lncRNA from 1 species
UUGUUUUCAUCGUUAUGAUUUAGUACUGAUCUUCACGCCAAUGAUCUUACUCAGAGUUUGUGAAUGGAAUACACGGAAUCUAUCAUGGUUGAACUCGCUAAUAAAUCAAAUUAAGAAGCACCAUGACCGGUAUGAUAUCUUUUAGUUGAGAUUAUUGUGCUUCUUUAUCGAAUUUCAUCCUUUAGAUGCCAAAAUAUAAAUAUCCUAGAUUGAUUGUCUUAAUUGAUUCUUCGCCUCUCGUCUCGUGUUUUAGUUUCAAUUAGAAUUAUGCUUUGUAUUCGUCCAUCAAGGAUGAAAAUUUGAGUACAUGGUUCGAGUUCAUCUCUCAACUCAUGGUUUUACAUCUUAAUCGAGUUGAUUAUAUCAAAGAGUAAGUAUUUUUGCAUCUCUUAGGAAGUGGGUUCUGGUUUACUUUAUCUCCUAGAGUUUUAAUUUAGUUUGAGUUCAUGAGUUUUUAUUGAAACCCUAAUUAUUAGUAUUAAGGGUUUUGAUUUUGUUAUUUGCAUUCAAUAUAUUUGUUUUACUAUGUGAGUAAAUAAAUGUUUAAUGUAUAUUACCAAGAAGUUCUUGUACUAGAGCUUAAGAGUUGGACGGGGCUGAUGACACUACGCCAUAAGUGCUCAUAUGCAACGCUCAAUAGUGUUGCCUUAUACCCCAAAUGGUGUUGCCUUAGGCACGAAAUCGAGAUAUGCAACACUUCCUGAGCGUUGCAUAUGCGAGCCUUGCCUUUGACCUAUAAGGCAACGCUUAUGGCUAUAUAAUGCAACACCGAAUAUGUAUUGCAUUAUACCUAUAAUGCAACACCACAGUUUCAUAAAGGCAACAUUUAUUGGUGUUGCCCCUAAAGAUGGACACACAACAGAGAUGGGUACCACGUCAUCUGCCACGUCAGCUGGGUCCCUCCUGACACGUCAUUGAUGAGUCACUUGCCAUGUCAUUGAUGAGUGUCUCUUUCCACGUCAUGGGUGGGUCCCACAUGGUCCAAAUAUUUAGUGGGUCCCACAUAUCUUUUGCAACAUCAUAUAUUUUAAUAUGCAACACUAUGUUGUUUAUAUUUGUAACACUGAUAAAUUAAAUAUGAAACACUAAAUAAAUAUAAAUUGCAACACUGGAAAAAGUAAAAUGCAACAAUUUUUAUAAAAAUUUUGCAAUAUCAGUCUUGUACAUUCUUAAAUCCCUUCCUAAACAAGCCAUCAAACUACAAAGCAACUCUAUCAUAAUUUUAAACCGGAACAUCAAAAAUCAAUUGUAAAGUAUACAUGUCAGUGUUGGGUGCUAAGUCAUUCAUUGCUACUUCAUCAUUCGGACCAUACAUUGUCUUCUGUCUUCUGUGCUAGGCUGAUCGGCUCUUUUCUGCCAUUGCGAGGAAUAGGUUCUCUCAGCCUUUUAUCUGAAUAACACCAUUUGCGAUGUUUGGCCAAAGAGCAACCAAAUGUUGUUAUCUGCAGCACAGAAGUUGAAAGAAAAAAAAUGAUAUAAAGAAAUGAACAAUAUUCUUCCUAUAAGAGAAAGGCUGAUAUACAAUGGACCACCUCAAAUCAAAUAAAUCAUAUAUGCAACAACCAAUACUUCAUAUCAAAAGAAAGUGUUGAUGAAAAACAGGAAAUUGUAACUAAAGAAAUUGAUACACACAGGAUGAAACACAUAGAUCUAUAUAUAAAAUGUAUAGAUCUCUACAUACAAUGUAUAGAGCUAAAAGCUCCUUUGCCAAUCUGCCCUAGUACUUCAUACUGCUCGAUAUCUCAGUCAACUUGUCACAUUUACACAUAGAAGAUAAAAUGUACGAGUCCGAUUACACAUUCCAAUAAUCAAUAAUGAUUCAAAGUAAAAACCAAACUUGCUUUCUGCCUUGCAAAGCUUUGCCAGGAUACAGAAAAUAAAAAAGAGUUAAAAUGCACAAUAAAGUUAUUACCUAAAUCCAAUAGAUAUGAUCUACUAAAGCAGUCUUAGGCCUAUCAAGCUAUUAAUGUUAUUAAAAACUGCCAACUAUACAAUAUAUUUAACUGUGUAAGUAGGCACUUACAACAAAGUCACCAGCGUUAAUGAAGUUGAGGACUCCGUUAUCUCCUGUCGUGUGCAAAAGAGCCAUAAAUUGGCUAGCUGUCACAACUAAAAACUCAAGAAGAAUUAUUAUCCUGAACCUGUGGCUUAUUUUGGAUAAAUAGUAGGUUAAACGCAUGUGCUCCUCAAUAUAUACUGAAACAUCCAAAUCCUUCUCAAAUAGCUUCCCAUAAUUCUCAAAAUGUAUUACUUGCAGGUUUCCAACAAAACAAAACAGACCUGUGCCUGAUAGAAACAGCAGAGUGGAGUAAGUCCAACACAGCAGUGAAGCUAUUAAACAGCCAACAGAUUGCCACCAUGGUAUUAAUUCAAAAUCAUAAAAGUCUACAACUCAAAAUACUCUUCUAACUUCUGGCUACAAAGUACAUUUCUUAAUCAGGUUUGGACUAGUUCUUUACAACUAAGAAGGCAACACGUAUAAUGCGUUACAUGAUCCCAGCAGUGCUCAUAAGUCAUAACAUUUCAGAUCACUAGAACCCUACAUGAUCAACCAGCAGGAUAAUACUAACUUAUAACAAGUAGUUAAGUAAAAGUAUUAGACUAAACAAGAUGUACUUACUACAUACUAGAGUCAACUUAAAGGGAGAUGCAGAAAUGCAUAAAACCUUCACCAACAAUGCUCAAUUUCAAGGUCUGGAAUUAUUUUAAUUUUCUGUCAAUGUUUAAUUAUUUUUAUUUUCUUAACACAAGCCAAUAUUCAGUCACCACUAAAAAAUUAAACUACAGUAUUAUAAUUUAAGAAGGUGAUCAUUGGUCCAAAUAUGAUAUAUAAGUUACUAAACAAGGCCUAUUUUUCUAUGCAUAUACGGAUAGAAACAGGAGAAGGUAUAUAGCAGGGGAGACAUCAAAAUAUAGAAAAGGAAGCAAAUAGAACAGUCAUGCACCCAUAUGUAUAAGAGUGCCAGUACAACUCAAUUUUAUGCACCCAGCCCCCAGGUCGCCUUUAUGUAUUUCAUGAACCCCCAAUUUCAAAGCCCUAAACGUGUGUAAGAACAAAAGCUUAAUUAACAGAGCAAAUGCGUAUAUCAAAACAAAACCCCAAUCAAUUGUAACAAUAACAAAUAUGCACUCCUAUAUAUUUACCAAUUAACCUGAGUGAAAGAGUAAAAGCCCCGAUCUGAAGCCCUAAUCACCUGCAAAAUUAAAACAAAAUCGGUAAAAGCCUACUAAUUGGAGCCAAAGACAUGUGUAUUCAAAUACCAAAUCUUAAAUUUAUCCUUCACUUCGUCCUUCAGGUUUGUUCUCGAGAGAGUAAAUCGAGAAAGAGUUGAGAGUAGAGAGAGAGAGGCAGAGAGCUGAGUCCUUCAAAUAAUGUGUUUUCAUUUGAGGGGGAAAUAAUGCCGCCCACCAUUUCACUGGACAACUUUUCGCUUGGAGGGAGUUUUACCGCCUCGACGAUUCCACUCUAAAGAACUGGUUUUCAAAAUUUUUGAAUUACUUAAUUAAAUUAUAAUUUGUUAAAACUAAAAUUUUAAAUAAUAUAUAUGUGAAAUAUUUACUUAUAUAUAUUAUAAUAAUAAGUUAAAUAUUAUAGUAUAAUUAAUAUUAAAUUUUUAAGGGAAAAAAGUAUUAGAACAAAGAUAUCAAUAUACAUUACUUAAUGAUAUAUUUAAUUUUUAUAAUUAGACUACCUUCUUGGACCGCUUUGACUAUUAUAAACUCACAGCUUCUAAAUAUGGAAAUUUUUGAAAAAAAAUUCUUAUUACUAAAUUUGGUAGAUAUUAACAUCCGUACGGUUGGAUCGUCAAGAAUGAAUUUUAAAAAAAUAGAAUUUGUAUUCGGGACAACACUGCUUAAUUGACUACCUUCUAGGACCGCUUUGACUAUUAUAAACUCACAUUUUUUAAAUAUGAAAAUUUUUGAAAAAAAUUUCUUAUUGCUAAAUUUGAUAGAUAUUAACAUCCGUACGGUUGGAUCGUCGAAAAUGAAUUUAAAAAAAAUAGAAUUCGUAUUCAGGACAACACUGCUUAAUUAGACUACAUUCUUGGACCGCUUUGACUAUUAUAAACUCACACCUUCUAAAUAUGGAAAUUUUUGAAAAAAAAUUCUUAUUACUAAAUUUGAUAGAUAUUAACAUCCGUACGGUUGGAUCGUCUAGAAUGAAUUUUAAAAAAAUAGAAUUUGUAUUCGGGACAACACUGCUUAAUUGACUACCUUCUUGGACUGCUUUGACUAUUAUAAACUCACACCUUCUAAAUAUGAAAAGUUUUGAAAAAAAUUUCAUAUUACUAAAUUUGAUAGAUAUUAACAUCCGUACGGUUGGAUCGUCGAAAACAAAUUUUAAAAAAAUAGAAUUCGUGUUCGGGACAACGUGAGUUAAUUGGACUAUCCACUUUGACCACAAAUGACUAUUAUAGUUUAGUUAUGCAACACACAACAUAAAUGAAAGGUUGGUGGAGUGGUGUGUAACAUGUUUUGAUACAUGAGAGGUCAGGGGUUCAAUUCCCUUGGCCUUCAAAAAUUUUCAAAGAUUUUUAUAUCAAAAUGGGUCAGUAGGACCCACUGCCACGUCACAAAAAUGGGUCCAGAGGUGGGCCCCACUGCCACGUCAGCCUCUAGGGCCCAUUGCCACGUCACCUGAAUGGGUCCAGACGUGGGGUCCACCGCCACGUCACCUGAAUGGGUCCAGAGGUGGGGCCCACUGCCACGUCACCAAAAUGGGUCCAGCAGUGGGGACCACUGCCAUGUCAGCAUGUGGGACCCACUGCCACGUCACCAAAAUGGGUCCAGCAGUGGGGACCCUGCCACGUCAGCACGUGGGACCCACUGCCACGUCAGCAAAAAUGGGUCCAGCAGUGGGACCCACUGCCACAUUAGCACGUGGGACCCACUGCCACGUCAGCAAAAUGGGUCCAGCAAUGUCUACUGCUAUAACGCAACACUACAAACUCCUAUAAUGCAACGCUGUUUGAGUUCUGUUGCAGAAGAUAGAAAACCAAGGGUCUAUUGCAAUACUUUCCAUGCAACACUAGGAAUACGCGUUGCAUAUGAGCACUUAUGGCGUAGUGUGAAAAUGCAGCAGCUUCGCCCCCUAGACACAGCUCUUUAUGCUUUUAUCGGAUCUUCUUCAGAAGUUAAAGUUUUAUUUUAUGGUAUAUUGCUAUGUAAACAUGUGCAUGUGGUUGCUUUUGUCUUUUAUUGUUAUCGUUGAAAGUUAGUAGAGUUUUGGUAUAGUUAGUAGAGUUCUAAGCAAGGUGCUAAUAAGAUGUGCCAUUUUCUUGGAGAAAUCGAUGUUUGUGUUCUUGUGCUGUGCAUCUACACGUACAAGUCAUCAGCAUGCACUACAAGGAAAACAGCAUCAGACAAGCGUUUUUGCCCGUUGUCUGACACCUCGAAAAACCGUGGUCUAUCGAGGCGCCGAUACGCAUAUCAGACAACGGGUCGAACGUUGUCUGAGUGUGGGCAACACGAUGGUUCACUUUAACUAAAACGUUGUGCAACACCCAGAAACAACAACGGGAUUAAUAAAAGGAAAUGUUGUUGUAAACGAUUCAUAACAAUAGUCAUUUUCUAAAUUUGUGUUGUUAAAUAAGACUAUCCACAACUGUUUUUGUAGUUAGCUAGACUUGUUGGCAAGAGGAUCAUACAACGAAAUUUGGAGUAGAGAUGAUCGUUGUUUACUCUCUAGUACAACGGUUUUAGAGCACAAGAUCACUUGUGCAAGGAUCCUUCUAACAAUAUUUCAGCUUUUGAAACAAUUGUGUGAAAGCUCUUUUACAAUGGUUUUUCUUGCACAAAAGGUCGUCGUAUAUAGAUAUAGACAACGGGUUUAGUUUUUUUGUUAACUUGUUUGUGUGCCUCUUUCACAACAAUUUUAUUUAUAAAAAUAUAUUGUAUGUAGACAUUGAGACAACAGUUAAUUUUUUAAUCUUGCCAGUUUGUUGUCUUUAGCAUAUUUGGACAAGUGUUUCUAUUUCAUUACUUUUGUAAAUAAUAUGUUUAGACAAUGGUUUUAUCACAAGGAGUGAUUGUGCAAGUUUUAUCAGACAAUGCUCUUUAAGACCGUGAACAUUGUAUAAUGUUAUUUAUAACAACUGGCAUGUAUAUUUUCCAUUAGCUAAAAGUAUAAAAGACAAUGGUUUUACACAACCCAAUUAAACUAAUAUAGAUAAUUUAAUUAAGAAGCAAACAAUUAGUAAGCUAAAUUUCUCCAAGGAAUACUAUUAAGACAAAUGUAUAAUAAAAUGUUUUGACAUUACAAUGAAUACUUAUUUUUGUGACAUUGUUGAAAGCCAAGUUGACAACACCACUGCAUGAAAAAAAGUGAAUCAUAUGAAGCCUCUCAACAUCCCUUGACCUGGAAAAAAGAGAAAAAAUUAGAGAAAUGAUGGAGUAAUGCUACAAUUAAUCUACCACUCAAGUGUUUCACUUAGGCAUAUAACUUAUAAGAGUGAGUUGAAGUAAGACUUACUAUAUUUGUUAUAAUAUAUAUAAGAUAUAUAUGACCCGUUGUUACAGUACGUAUAAGAUAUAAAAUAGAAUCUGAUAUGCAUGUAGACUCGAAUAACAUAAUAAUACACAGUUACUCUAAUUAAAUCACAUUAUCUCUUUAAAUAUGCAUAGACAAAAAUAAUUGCCCUAGAAAUUUUGUCUUUAAAAGAUGAAUUACAACAAGAUUCUCACAGGUCUUUAGAAGCCACUAAUGAGCACCAAACCGGACUUAAUCUUCUGUCAUGUCUGAUGUUGUUAGCAUCUAACAAAGCCUGCAGAGAAACAUUUGAAUUUUUCUAGAAGUAUUUGCCUUUUUUGGACUCAAACUUAACAACUUCUGUCUUUCACAAUCAGGAGGGUGUAAAUCAGUCCCAUUCUUUUUAUCUCUGGUUUUCCUUUUAGUUCUAAAAGAAAGUUAUUUAGUCUUCACAACAUUUGUAGGUUCUGACUUGGAUGCAGAUUCUUGUAAGGUAGACAUUGAGAAUUUACACCUAUUUGCAACUUCUACCAGAAAGUUCAGAGACUUCCAUUAAAUCAACAUGAGAAUUCAAAAGUCAUCUUAAAACUAUUUUUUAUGUGUGAUAACAUCUUCUGCCCUUUAUACAUUCACAUCCCAUGCAUACCUUCACACCCAAACAUCAUAAUAUCCUUGACAUGGUCACAAUUUCAAUACAGAGCAUUAACAAUUAUAAUUAUGCUUGAAUUGAAAGUUAAGGAAAUUAUAUCCAUUCAUGUUAGUUCCAAGUACCAAAAACAAAAAUAUAUCACACAACAAAUUUCACAAAGCCGAUCACAGUUUUAAUACAAUGGAAAAAAAUCAUACAGCAAACACAAAUUCAACUCAAACCCAUCAAAAAAUACACACCCCCUCCAUCUUACACACAUACAUGAAACUAAACAAAAACAAAUUACCUAAUAGGCCGUCUAUCAAAAUGAGCCCAAAAUUUAUCAUCAAAAUCAGCUUCUUCGGCCACUUUAUUCUCUGAAUCUUUGAGUUUCCACUUUAGGCUCGAAUUGAAGCAAUUAGCUUGUUGCAGACAAAAUCUACAAAAGAAAAUCGAACAUGAGAAACAGUAGAAAGCCUUGGUAAUUGAAAAGGCUAAACAAAAGAUGUUAAUUAUGCAUAAUUAUACAUCCUGCAUCUACAAAACAUCCAUUCCCAAAGAAACCCAUAGCAAGCUUAAAUUACUCCCAGAACAAAAAUACAAAACAAAACUAUACAAAAAAAAUCAAGAGAGAGAUAGAGAGAGAGAAUUGAAGAUACAAAACUCCAUGGCCCAAAACUAAAAUUAAAUUAGUAAAAUCAUCUCUCUCCUCAUCAUAAUAUAAUUGGUUGUUAAACUGAGCAGCAUGGUCAACGCCUCCAUCGGAAACUUAUAUGGUCCGCCGGGUCACUGCCAAUGGCAACAGAUCUGGGAGUUUUGUCGAAAAUCAAAUAGAGAGGGGGAGGGAGGGAGGGAGGGAGAGGGGCGAAUAUAGAAAUCAGGGGAGAGAGGGAGGGAUAUGCUCUGUGACGAGAGGAAGAGAAAGAUGUAGAACAAGAGAGAUGCUCAUCUGAAUCUCUGCCUUACAAAUCUAACAGGGGGAAGUGAAAAUUUGGGUUAAUAGAUAAAGGGGGGAAAUGAAAAUUUGGGUUAAGAGAUAAGGGGGGAAGUGAAAACGUUUGUUGAGGGAUGAAAUUGACUGAUACGGGAGUUAGAAAAACUAUGAAUAUAAUAUACAUAACAAAAUUAAUGUACUGUAAUAUCCAGUGUAGUUGAAUUCUUAAACAUGAUUUUUUUUUUAUAUUUAUCUAGUUGAUUACAAAAAUAUCAUAUUAAAUAAUUUUUAAAAAUAUUAAUAUUUUAUUAUGUGUAAAAUUUAUUUCUAAAAUACAAAAUUAUCUUAUAAAAUUUUCUUUUAAAAAAAUAUUUCUUUCUUAAGAGUUAAAAAUUCUCGUUUCCUCGAUCAAUUUCGAUUUUCGUACUCUUUAACUUAGAAAAAUAUUUUAUAUUACCUAUAUAUGCAAAUAUACAUUGUUCAUUUGUAAUAAAAAGAUAUCACAUAAAAUAAGAAAAUAAUUAUUUUAGCAUGUGAGUAAUUUAUUAGUAUGUGAAUAAUCAAUUUUUUGACAAUCCAACCGAAUUCUAAUACCAACUAAUCUAAGUAAUUAAUGAUGUGAAAAUAUAAUUAUAAAACAAGAAGACAAUCUUGUAUAAUUUAUUUAAGAAAAAUCCAGUAAAACUAUUGUAUAACAAAUUUUCUUUUUAAGAGUUAAAAUUUUUCGUUUACUUGAUCAGUUCUUGUAUUUGUAAUUAUUAAUUAGUAAUUAUUUUUGGAUUAAUAUUGUGUUAAUUAUUAAUUAUUAAUUAUUUUUGGGAUUUGACGUGAGUAUUAGUAAGUGUUUUAUGUUCACGAGUUAGGAAGUAUUGGAUAGAAAUUUUGUUAUUUACAAGAUUUGCUCUGAAUUAGUUUAUAAUUUGUUUUAAAUGAUCUGUCCCUAUGGAUGUUAAUAACUAACAAUAUUAGUCAUGCACAAAAAAAUUUAGAUUUUUCUAUGUUUAUUUUGUAUGACAAAACUAGUCAAUCAUAAGUUUUGUCUUAUUAUAAAAAGGUAAUUUUUGUCUCAUAGUAUCUAACAGACAACGGUAUUUAUACGCACGUGUGUUGUACGAGUUAAAAUAACACAACUGUUAUCGACAUUAUACCGUUGUAACAUAAUUUAUUGUCUAAAAUAGGCUCAAACAACGUUUCUGGAAAAACCCGUUAUAUGUAAAUAGUGUAGACAACGGUUUCUGGGAGGGAAACCGUUGUAUAACAAAUUUUCAUUUUUAAGCGUUAAAUAUUCACAUUUCCGUGAUCAAUUUUAUUUUUUGUUACCCUUUGUCUUAACAAAUAUAUUUAUAUUAUGCAUAUAUGCAGAUAUCUAUUGUUCAUUUGUACUAUGAAGAUAAUUUUGUAGUUCGGACGUGAGUAUUAGUAUGUGUUUUAUGUUUACAAUUUAGAUUGUACUAAAUAGAAUGUUUGUUAUGUAUACAAUUAACUCUAUAUUAAUUUAUAAAUUUUUGUUUUGAUGAUCUAACCGUACGGAUGUCGAGAACUAACAAUAUUAGUCAUGUGUAAAAAAUUUUAAAAUUAUUUAUGUUUAUUUUGUAUGUUUUUUAACAAUACUUGUCAAUCGUAAAUUUUGUCUUAUUAUAAAAAGGUAAUUUUUGUCAUGUAGUGUCUUAACACACAACAGUUUUUAUACGCAACUCUGUUGUAUCAUUGACGAAGAUAAUUUUGUAGUUCGGACGUGAGUAUUAGUAUGUGUUUUAUGUUUACAAUUUAGAUUGUACUAAAUAGAAUGUUUGUUAUGUAUACAAUUAACUCUAUAUUAAUUUAUAAAUUUUUGUUUUGAUGAUCUAACCGUACGGAUGUCGAGAACUAACAAUAUUAGUCAUGUGUAAAAAAUUUUAAAAUUAUUUAUGUUUAUUUGUAUGUUUUUUAACAAUACUUGUCAAUCGUAAAUUUUGUCUUAUUAUAAAAAGGUAAUUUUUGUCAUGUAGUGUCUUAACACACAACAGUUUUUAUACGCAACUCUGUUGUAUCAUUGAUAAUGACACAACUGUUAUGGAACUUAACUGUUGUAAGAGAAUCUAUUGUCUAAAAUAGGCUCAAACAACGCUUCGGGGAAAACCCGUUGUAUAAAAGUUGUGUAGACAACGGUUUAUAGGAAGAAAAUCGUUGUAUAAAAGUUGUGUAGACAACGGUUUAUAGGAAGAAAAUCGUUGUAUAAUAAAUUCUCAUUAAAGAGUUAAAAAUUCGCAUUUUCUUGAUCAAUUCUUGUUUUUGAACUGUUUGUCUUAACUAAUAUAUUUAUAUUAUGCAUAUACGCAAAUAUUUAUUGUUCAUUUGUACUAUGAAAAUAAUUUUGUAGUUCAGACAUGAGUAUUAGUAUGUGUUUUAUGUUUGCAAUUGAGAAAGUACUGAAUAGAAUCUUUGUUAUGUAUACAAUUAGCUCUGUAUUAUUUUAUAAAUAUUUUUUUCGAUGAUCUGACCGUACGGAUGUCGAGAACUAACAAUAUUAGUCAUGCAUCAAAAAAAUCAAAAUAAUUUAUGUUUAUUUUGUAUGUUUUUUUAACAAUACUAGUAAAUCGUAAAUUUUGUCUUAUUAUAAAAUGGUAUUUUUUGUCCUAUAGUGUUCAACAGACAAUGGUUUUUAUACGCACCUAUGUUGUAUAAUUGAAAAUGACACAACUGUUACAGAAGUUAUACCGUUGUAAGAGAAUCAAUUGUCUAAAUUCAGCUCAAACAAUGCUUCACGAAAAACCCGUUGUAUAAAAGUAGUGUAGACAAUGAUUUAUGGGAAGGAAACCGUUGUAUAAUAAAUUUUCAUUUUUAUGAGUUAAAAGUUCGCAUUUCCUUGACCAAUUAUUCAUCUAAUGCAAGAAAAACCUAUGACUAUCAAGAAAUUGAUUAUUUUGUUAUAACUUCGGUUAGUUAUUUUGAAUAUUUGUACUCUCUUAUGUACAUUUAUUUUCUUAAAAUUCAUUCGGUCAGACAACAUUUUAUUAGUUAGUAGAAGCUUGUUUAUAAGGUCAUCAUACAAUGCUAACAAAAACACUUGUAUGUUAGCUUCCCAGUCACACAACACUAUAUGGAACCCUUGUAUGAACUUUUCGUAAACAACACAACAAAUAAAACACUUGUCUCAUUAUAACAACGGUUUCUUCGAAUAUUGUCUGAGGUUUCUUUACACAAUAGCACCAAAAACAGUUGUCUAUCGUGCAUCAUUACACAAUACCACAGUUAAGACACCGUUGUCUGAUUGAAUUUACUAGACAAUAUUUUUUUAACCAUUGUAGGUCGUGGUGUUAAACAAUAGUUUUUCGAGGAUGAAAAUAAACCGUUGUAUCUCGUUUUCGGCCAACGCUUUUUUCAGCGUCCGUUGUCUGAUCAGUGUUGUCUGAUUCAAGUUUUCUUGUAGUGAUGUAAUCUCAGCAGUGAUCUUGCAAAGAUUAAUUUACUCAUCAUCUCAGAAAAAUUGUGCAGAGAAUUAGAACCUGAAGAGGAGUCAUGGGAAGUUCUCUUCGCAGCAUCUCAGAAUCCUUAAAUGGAUCUAGCUUCUCUAUACACUCAAGUUCUUCUUUAGAAAAGGGAAUUGAAGCUUGAGGCCAAGGGAUCCAUUCAAAAUAAAGUGGUCAUAGUCAAGAAUGUAAGCAGCAACUUCUCUAAAUCCUUUUUCCUGACCCUUACAGAAUGCUUCCAACCUGGCUGUCCAAGCACUUUUUCCACAAGGUCUUUAGGGUUAUUUGGUGCAAAAGGUUCUUCAUCAGUUGCCUUUACUAUAGCCCACUAAGAACAAGAAUUGAAAAGCUUGGGAAGAAGAAUAUGUGAGAUGGUUAGAAUCUCUGCACGAUGCAGAUGCCGCCAGUACAGCGAGCAUAGGUACAGGGAGCACGGAUAUAGAAAGCACCACUACAGGGACCGCCAGUACAGGGAGCAUGGGUACAGGGAGCAAAAGGAUGACUAUGACAAUCAUCGGGCUUACAAGGAUGAUUGUGAUCGGACAAAUCGGCAGGAUCUAAGGGCAAAACGCGUGUUGUGGAGGAGGAUCACAGAUCUCGUUCAAGGGAUUCUUACCAACAAGGGUUGCCAAAGUGACGCAAUAGGUGUAUGAGAUUAGCCGCUUUACCUUGACAGGUACCAACAAGGUGCUGGUUUAUCAUGGAUCC